AAAAACCGCCGCAGACGUCUAUAGACUUGUCAAUUAAGUUAGAUAACAAGUCCAUUGUAUCUUGAAGGUAUUGAGUGGGCUAAGAAGUUCACACAAUGGGAAGUCUUACGAACCACACUCGAUACAUUCUGCUUCACUCCGAUGGAAUCAACUAACAACAAGCCGCAAGAAAUAACUUCCAAAACCGCCUUCAGAGAAAAUCCUCCAUGCAACGCGAAAGCAGGACAACAAAAGCCACAACACAACUAAUCCCGCAUUUGGGGGAAUCAACGCCGCCACCAUGCACCGUCCCACGCAACGGAACCUAUUAUGUGCUGCAACAAUUACCCCAAGUUGACCUGUUCUUAGUUAAGGUUCGCAGACUGGUCGUGACCUGUGGGAGCGAUAUCAUUACCAGGAAUGACCGCGAAGAGAGCAAACGUCCUGUCACGUGGCGGUUGUGUGGAGGGCUCUCCCGAAAUGCCCCAAACGCGAUCGAUCCGACGCAAUUUCAGGCAAAAAGCGACUUAUCUGCAUCGGAUGCAUGCAAAGGGGUUGCCGGGAAAUGGAGUUUAAAAGUUACAUACACCCGACAAGAUCUAAUAACGUUCGAAAAAACUCGAAGACGAAAAUAUAGUUUUCCAAUUUUGCUUUAAGUGCACCCGAAGGAGAGGGAACGGCGCUCCUCAAUCCAAAAUAUUCCAACGUUUCGAAGGAAAAUAGCGGAACGAGGUUAGGGAAGGUCUUCACGGAUCCCGACAUGGAUGAAAUUAUUUUUCGAGGUGGCAACGAAGGGCUCGAACUUGCCGGAAACCGAGGAUAAUAUAGCGACUUUGAUUUUUCUGCGUGUC